GGGGAUUUAGCUCAGUGGUAGAGCACUUGCCUAGCAAGCGCAAGGCCCUGGGUUCGGUCCCAGCUCCG
rfam:Rattus norvegicus chromosome 19, whole genome shotgun sequence.